ACCCUAUACGGGGGAUCACUUGGCUCGUGGGUCGAUGAAGAACGCAGCUAACUGUGUGAAAUCGUGUGAACUGCAGGACACAUGAACAUCGACAUUUUGAACGCAUAUUGCGGUCCAUGCAAAAGUUUUUUUUUCAAAAAAAAAAAAACUUGAAGGACCAAGGAUUGUUUGUUGUAA
rnacentral:rRNA from 1 species